UCUUGGUCAUUUAGAGGAAGUAAAAGUCGUAACAAGGUCUCCGUUGGUGAACCAGCGGAGGGAUCAUUAUCGAGUUUCAUAACUCCAAACCAUUGUGAACAUACCUAUCGUUGCUUCGGCGGUUUCGUCCCGGGCGCGCUUCGCGGCGUGAUCCGGAUCCAGGCGGCCGCCGGGGGAAUCAAACUCUUGUUUUCUUAGAGGAUCUUCUGAGUGGCAUAAGCAAAAUAAAUCAAAACUUUCAGCAACGGAUCUCUUGGUUCUGGCAUCGAUGAAGAACGCAGCGAAAUGCGAUAAGUAAUGUGAAUUGCAGAAUUCAGUGAAUCAUCGAAUCUUUGAACGCAUAUUGCGCCCGCCAGUAUUCUGGCGGGCAUGCCUGUCCGAGCGUCAUUUCAACCCUCAGGGCCCGUUCGCGGGACCUGGUGUUGGGGAUCGGCCGUCCAUCGCGGCGGCCGGCCCUGAAAUCGAGUGGCGGUCUCGUCGCGACCUCCUCUGCGUAGUAGCAAUAUCUCGCAGCUGGAAGGCGACGGGGCCACGCCGUAAAACUGUCUCCGGACACUUUUUCUCAAGGUUGACCUCGGAUCAGGUAGGAAUACCCGCUGAACUUAAGCAUAUCAAUAAGCGGAGGAA
rnacentral:rRNA from 1 species